rnacentral:rRNA from 1 species
UACAUAUGGGGCAAGCGUUGUUCGGAAUUACUGGGCAUAAAGGGUGCGUAGGUGGUCUAUUAAGUCGGGGGUGAAAUCCUGGAGCUCAACUCCAGAACUGCCUUCGAUACUGGCGAUCUCGAGUUCGGGAGAGGUGAGUGGAACUGCGAGUGUAGAGGUGAAAUUCGUAGAUAUUCGCAAGAACACCAGUGGCGAAGGCGGCUCACUGGCCCGAUACUGACGCUGAGGUGCGAAAGCGUGGGGAGCAAACAGG